UGGGGAAUUUUGGACAAUGGGGGAAACCCUGAUCCAGCCAUCCCGCGUGUGCGAUGAAGGCCUUCGGGUUGUAAAGCACUUUUGGCAGGAAAGAAACGUCGCGGGUUAAUACCCCGCGAAACUGACGGUACCUGCAGAAUAAGCACCGGCUAACUACGUGCCAGCAGCCGCGGUAAUACGUAGGGUGCAAGCGUUAAUCGGAAUUACUGGGCGUAAAGCGUGCGCAGGCGGUUCGGAAAGAAAGAUGUGAAAUCCCAGAGCUUAACUUUGGAACUGCAUUUUUAACUACCGGGCUAGAGUGUGUCAGAGGGAGGUGGAAUUCCGCGUGUAGCAGUGAAAUGCGUAGAUAUGCGGAGGAACACCGAUGGCGAAGGCAGCCUCCUGGGAUAACACUGACGCUCAUGCACGAAAGCGUGGGGGAGCAAACAGGAUUAGAUACCCUGGUAGUCCACGCCCUAAACGAUGUCAACUAGUUGUUGGGGAUUCAUUUUCCUUAGUAACGUAGCUAACGCGUGAAGUUGACCGCCUGGGGAGUACGGUCGCAAGAUUAAAACUCAAAUGAAUUGACGGGGU
rnacentral:rRNA from 1 species